rnacentral:rRNA from 1 species
GACAGAGGAUGCAAGCGUUAUCCGGAAUGAUUGGGCGUAAAGCGUCUGUAGGUGGCUUUUCAAGUCCGCCGUCAAAUCCCAGGGCUCAACCCUGGACAGGCGGUGGAAACUGCCAAGCUGGAGUACGGUAGGGGCAGAGGGAAUUUCCGGUGGAGCGGUGAAAUGCGUAGAGAUCGGAAAGAACACCAACGGCGAAAGCACUCUGCUGGGCCGACACUGACACUGAGGCGCGAAAGCUAGGGGAGCGAACGGG